AGAAAGGGGAAUAAGAAUAUACAAAAUAAGGCUAAGAUGACCUACAGAAUGAGAGAAAAUAUUUGUAAAUCAUAUAUCUGAUAAGGAUAUAGUUUCCAGAAUAUAUAAAGAACUCUUACAAUUCAACAACAAAAAAAGCAAAUAUCCCAAUUUAAAAAUGGGCAAAAGACCUGAAUAGACAUUUCUCCAAAGAUAUACAUAUGGCCAAUAAGCAUUCUAAAACAUGCUCAAAUCAAAACCAUAAUAAGAUACCACUCCACACCAAGUAGCAUGGCCACUAUAAUAAUAGCAAUAGAGAUCUGCUGGCGAGUGGGAUGCACGCCUUGCGAGAGGUGAGGUUGAAGCUGCCUCCGCCAUCUUGGAGAUGGGAGAUGGGCGACGGCUGUGGUCCUUCAGCUAAUGCAAACAACAAAACGGGCACACUAGUCACACCCGAGGGAGGCCACCAUCACUGUUAACUGUUUGCCAAAGCUACAAAAGAAACGAGGUGUCCAACUGAGCGCGGUGACACUGAAAGCAGCUUCCCCUGCCUUCUGCGGCUGCGGAAGUGAAGUGCCAGAGGACCGGAAGGAUGGUGCAGUCCUGCUCCGCCUAUGGCUGCAAGAAACGCCAGGACCAGGACAAGGACAAGCCCGUUUCUUUCCACAAGUUUCCUCUUACUUGACCCAGUCUCUGUAAAGAAUGGCAGGCAGCUGUCAGAAGAAAAAACUUUAAACCCACCAAGUACAGCAGUAUUUGUUCAGAGCACUUUACUCCAGACUGCUUUAAGAGGGAGUGCACAAGAAGUUACCGAAAGAGAACGCUGUGCUCACAAUAUUUCUUUGUACUGAGCCACAGGACAAGAAAGACGAUCUUCUGGAGCCACAAGAACAGCUUCCCCCACCUCCUUUACCGCCUCUUUCCCAGGUUGAUGCUGCUAUUGGAUUACUAAUGCCACCUCUUCAGACCCCUGUUAAUCUCUCAGUCUUCUGUGACCACACUGUACUGUGGAGGAUACAGUGCACCAGCGGAAAAGGAUUCAUCAGCUAGCACAGCAGGUUGAAAAACUCAGAAAAAAGCUCAAGACUGCACAGCAGCGAUGCAGAAGGCAAGAACGGCAGCUUGAAAAAUUAAAGGAGGUUGUUCAAUUCCAGAAAAAGAAAGACGACGUAUCAGAAAGAGGUGAUGUGAUUCUACCAAAUGACUACUUUGAAAUAGUCGAAGUACCAGCAUAAUAAAAUGAAAUGUGUAUUGAUUUCUAAUGGGGCAAUACCACAUACCCUCUUCUGGCCUAUAGAGGAGUUUCAUUUAAAAAAAAUAACACUUGUUAUAUAAAAACAGUUAAGAACAUUUUUUAAAAAGAGAAUUCGAUAUAUACUUUAAAAUUAUAAAUAUUUUGUUUGUAAUUUCAAGUUUUUUACAUUUUAACAAAAUAUUUUAAAAGUUAUAAACUAACCUCAGAACUCUAAGUUGGUUUCAAGAUUGGAGAUUUUUGGGGUUUAGUAUUUAUAGAAAUAAUGUAAAAAUAAAAAGUAAAAAGAAUGAGAACAGUACAGUAAAAGGGUGAUUUAAGUUUAAAACUUAAAAUUAAUACUGUUUUAUUGAAAGAACUAGUUAUAUUUUAAAUCAGAAGUAUGGGUCAGAUCAUGGGACAUUACUUCUCAGAAUAUAUGUAUAUGUACAUAUUAUUAUGUGUAAAGUCACAAGGUUCAUUACUUUCUGAAUCAGUUAUCAAGGAUAAACUGGCAAGUCAGUACUUAAAAAGAAAAAAAGAUUUGAUUGUCUUCAGCAGAAAAGAGUCAUUCUAUAUCUAAUCAAUAACUUUAGAUUCUAAGAGUGGAUUUUUUUUUUAAUGGGCUCCUAUUUUUUCUCCUACUGUCUAGCUAUUUAAAAUUAGAAGUGUAUUUUCAGUG